rnacentral:rRNA from 1 species
GAUGAACGCUGGCGGCGUGCCUAAUACAUGCAAGUCGAGCGAACGGACGAGAAGCUUGCUUCUCUGAUGUUAGCGGCGGACGGGUGAGUAACACGUGGGUAACCUACCUAUAAGACUGGGAUAACUUCGGGAAACUGGAGCUAAUACCGGAUAAUAUUUUGAACCGCAUGGUUCAAAAGUGAAAGACGGUCUUGCUGUCACUUAUAGAUGGAUCCGCGCUGCAUUAGCUAGUUGGUAAGGUAACGGCUUACCAAGGCAACGAUGCAUAGCCGACCUGAGAGGGUGAUCGGCCACACUGGAACUGAGACACGGUCCAGACUCCUACGGGAGGCAGCAGUAGGGAAUCUUCCGCAAUGGGCGAAAGCCUGACGGAGCAACGCCGCGUGAGUGAUGAAGGUCUUCGGAUCGUAAAACUCUGUUAUUAGGGAAGAACAUAUGUGUAAGUAACUGUGCACAUCUUGACGGUACCUAAUCAGAAAGCCACGGCUAACUACGUG